rnacentral:rRNA from 1 species
UACGUAGGGCGCGAGCGUUGUCCGGAAUUAUUGGGCGUAAAGAGCUCGUAGGCGGCCUGUCGCGUCGGUUGUGAAAGCCCGGGGCUCAACCCCCGGGUCUGCAGUCGAUACGGGCAGGCUAGAGUUCGGUAGGGGAGAUCGGAAUUCCUGGUGUAGCGGUGAAAUGCGCAGAUAUCAGGAGGAACACCGGUGGCGAAGGCGGAUCUCUGGGCCGACACUGACGCUGAGGAGCGAAAGCGUGGGGAGCGAACAGG